GGGGAGGUUACGGAUUCGACAGGCAUUAUGAGGCAUAUUUUGCGACUCGUGUGGCGACGUAAACGCUCAGUUAAAUAUAACUGCAAAAAAUAACACUUCUUACGCUCUAGCUGCCUAAAAACCAGCAGGCGUGACCCGAUUUGGAUUGCUCGUGUUCAAUGACAGGUCUUAUUAUUAGCGAGAUACGAUUAAGCCUUGUCUAGCGGCUUGAUAAGAGAUUGAUAGACUCGCAGUUUCUAGACUUGAGUUAUGUGUCGAGGGGCUGUUAAAAUAAUACAUAACCUAUGGUUGUAGACAAAUAUGUUGGCAGGUGUUUGGACGUGGGUUCGACUCCC
rnacentral:tmRNA from 1 species